UCAGAACGAACGCUGGCGGCGCGUCUUAAGCAUGCAAGUCGAGCGGUAAGAUAGAAGCUUGCCUUAUCCUAGAGCGGCGGACUGGUGAGUAACGCGUGGGUGACGUACCUCUGUGACGGGGACAGCUCCUAGAAAUAGGAGAUAAUACCGGAUAAUCUCUUGUGUGUCAGAGGCAUAAGAGGAAAGGAUCUUUUGAUUCGCACAGAGAGCGGCCCGCGUACUAUUAGCUAGUUGGUGAGGUAACGGCCCACCAAGGCGACGAUAGUUACCCGGCCUAAGAGGGUGAUCGGGCACAUUGGGGCUGAGAUACGGCCCAGACUCCUACGGGAGGCAGCAGCUAAGAAUAUUCCGCAAUGGGGGAAACCCUGACGGAGCGACGCCGCGUGGAUGAUGAAAGGCCGGAAGGUUGUAAAAUCCUUUUAUGACUGAGGAAUAAGACUGGUGAGAGAAACGCCAGUUGGUGACUGUAGGUCAUGAAUAAGCAACGGCUAAUUACGUGCCAGCCGCCGC
rnacentral:rRNA from 1 species